CUUAAACUUUGCGACUUAUUUUUCUUGCCUUACCUAGCGACAGGCCAAUGACGCGCCAGAUGCGUGUGUCAUCCGCCAGACACUCCCCCGAGGCGAGCGAGGGCGGCUGUGCGCGCGUUUGAGUGCUCGCCUGCGGCGACCCGUCUGUCCCUUUUUUUAAAUGUAGCCCGGUUUCUUGGGCUCCCGGCGUAUUCUUGCGUUCCUUCUGCACUGGGACAAGACAACACUGCACUAUUGGACUACGGCAAGCUGAUGCAGUCUGGUGGAGCUUCAUACGUGAACUACUGCUCACCUGGGGUCACAACAUUGGAUGAACGCACAAAAAGCACGGAACGAGCUUUUAUAUAGAGCAAAAUAAAUAUUUCCUCAUUUCA